rnacentral:lncRNA from 1 species
CCAUUCCCAUUGGCUUUACUUUGAGUUAAGAUUCUCAAAUCCCAUUCCCUGGAAUCUUUCCAACUUUUGUUUCCUUUCCGAAGGGAAUACCAUUCCGUGGUCAUUUCCUUCUUUAAAUCCUUGUCAGAUGUGGUCCAAUAAGCAACUGGCACGGGCAAGUAUUUUUCACUAAUGAUUGACCGACCGACCGACCGACCAGCCAAUCCAAAUGAUACUACUAAAAUGCGAUUUGUUGUUCCUUUCAUCUGGUUCUGAAAACAAAACAAAAUUAAAACAAUACAACCUACGUUUCCAUAUAUUGAAAAUCACACAACAUUUGGUUAAAGCUAAAUACUCCCCUUUUAGCAUAUAAAUGAAUAAAUGCCCACACACAAAUACAAGAGAAAGUGAAUUGCAGUCAAGACUUGAUGGAAGCAUUAAAAAGAUAACUACUUAAUACGGCGUGAUAGUAAAGUCCCGCAUCGAAAUACAAGGAGAAAGAUUGAAUUGAGGAUAUAUAUGCUCUAAUGGACCAUACACCUAAUGGGUUAACCUUCUCGGUCAAGAUGCAGUUUCAGAUGAGCAUAUAUGGAUCGAAUAUUCCCAACGUUAAAUUGUUGGAAAGAUAAGACGUGAACUAAAAAUUGUAGCAACAUGUAACUCUACUUAUGGUUUGGCUAUAAUGCAAUGAAAACAUGAUUUGUUGCAUAAAUUUAACAGGAGCUAUAAGAUUGAAGAAUAUGGGAUAUAGACUAUAACAGGAGCUAUUUUACAGCACACAUUGUAAUCCUAUCCAUUUCAAAUGAAAUGGAGAGUCUCCAUUCUUUGUAUAUUCAUUUCCCAUUAUCAUCUCUUUCUCCCGUGAUUAUUCCCCUUACUGGAAUUUAUUCCUAUCCACAUGCCAGCAAACUAUUAAGGAAUUUCUUUAACGUACACUUUACCUAAAGCCUCCCACAUAUUCCCAAAACUACAUAAAAUAUAUAUCCUGAUAUAUCAGAACAAAUUGAUCUAUCUAAAAACAUUAGUUGUAAGUUGAAAUUAGUUAGGUGAUGAUACUUUAUUCAAGGCACAUAAUUAAAUUCAUAAUGUUCACACUAAAAUGUAUACAGCUAAAAUCGCAUACAGAAAAAGAUAAGGGAGAUGAAAGAACAAAUUAAAGUUGUCGUAUAGCUUCUUUUGUAAUCUUGAAAUGCUUGUUGUACACGCUAAAAAAACACUCCUUAAAAUGGCAUCGGAAAUCAGAUUUCUUAUUUGUUCAAAGUUGCAUUUUCAGAAUGCACGAGUAAUCCUUUAACAUGUAGAAACAGUCUCUAAUUACAAAUUAUUGUGAAGUAAGAAUUAUGCAUGUUCAUGCAAACUUGUAUAAUCAUGUACAUCAUAUCAGCUAUUUUGACUAUUUGUAUGUCAUACAGAGGCAUGCAUAACUAUUAACAAGCUAUCUUUAAUCCACUAUUAAAAGAAUUAAGACAACAAGAAGGAUGUGUAGAUUCAUACCAGAGAAUCUGCAAAGCCAACCGAGGCUCAAGUCAAGGGAAACGCAAGUGGUCCUCCCCAAUCCACUAAGUGUCAUACUUUCCAUGAAAUGCAAGUAUGGAGCAAGUACAAUCCAUCUUUUUCCUGCUGUAAGGGUCCAAUCAGCUUCAACAUGAGGCUGGCUUCCUUAUACCAAUUGAAGAAUAGAAAAUAUUUAAUUGGGGCACUCUUUUAAUCAAUCUAAAUACUGUCUAGUCUAAAUAAGUACCAAACUUAUGGAAGGAGACAAAAAUGAAUGUAUUCCUUAUUCCAUUAUUGGCCCUUCAGACAAUUCUACGGAGGGGCAUCUUUCAUUUUUUUAAUCUCUCUCUUGUAUGUACGCAAUUCCAAGUUCUAGAUGUUCCAGCCUACAGAAUCUUCUUCUACAUUCUCCAAGUUAAACCAGUGGAAAUUUUCUUGUCUUUUCAGUCUGUCUACACCUUUUAAUUAAGAUGACUUAAAAACUGAUCUAUAUUUGCAAAGCAAAUGAGUCUUUGAAAGGUACAUCGACAAGAAAAAAUAACUGCGAGUCCAAUUAAGGAUCAAUGUAAUAGGUUUUUUAAGAAUCAUCUAUGGGAAGAGAAGAUGGCUUGAAGGUAUUAAGACAACUGAGAUAGUGGAUUCCCCAAAUACGGGUCAGAAAAUUUUACUCUUAAAUUCGAGAAUAAGAUUCCCUCACUUUAAUAUGAAUGCACAGAAAAGUAUGCCAAGUGUUGCAGGAAGUUAUAUAAUUUAGAUUGAUAGAGCUGGUUGAGAACGGAAAAUGGAGUUAUGGGAUAGGUCCCACAGAUUCUCAGAACUGUAAGGACAAGAUCUCUUUCUGAAUUGCUGUGAAGAUUGGAUUGGGUCUGCCCAAGAUUCUAUGCCUCAGUAAGACUCCAUCUCCCAUCCCCCACAGUCCUUUUUCCAUUUGCCUUAUAAGGUGUGCUUGAGCACACCCCUGGUUUGUGAGACUUGGUAAGAUAAGAGAGGAGAUAGAUGAGAGCUGUAGAAGACAGCUUUUUUACCAAGUAUCAGAACUAAUCAAGAGACGUGACAACUUGCAGGUAAAACCAUAACUAUUCAUUCGUAGGAUCAUAUUAUUGUGCUACAACCAUGAAGCUAAUCAUAAGGCAAUUAUUUUGAAGACAAAAUGUAUCAUCAUCAACAUCAUCAAGCAAAUAAUAUCCAACCUUCCUCAAGAAUGCCAAUGACUCCAGAAAGAGUUCUAUUCCUACAAGGUGGGAAUGCUGCAGGAGAUUCUGGACUUAUCCUUUCAACUGAUGCAAAGCCUAGAUUGAAAUGGACGCCAGACCUUCAUGAACGGUUCAUUGAAGCAGUUAAUCAUCUCGGUGGAGCAGACAGUGAGUCAAACUAUGUUAAUGUUCAAUACCACCAUGCAAAAAUUAACUAAUUAUUUACCUAAUUGAAGUGUCUAUUAUUCUACUGCAGAGGCUACACCAAAAUCGGUUUUGAAACUAAUGGGGAUUCAAAGACUUACCUUAUACCAUUUAAAGAGUCAUCUUCAGGUAAACGUUUACCCAUAAUUACACUAGUAAGCUUCUUCAUAUUAGAGUUAAGGCCAUCUACCUUCUUUUCUUUUCUUUCUUUGUGCAUAUGUUCAGGCCUUGUGCAAUAUAUCUCUAAGGUUACCAAUUGUUGUGGCAAAUGAAGGGAGGGAUUUGCAGUUCUACCAUAACAAAUAAUCAACAAUGUUCUUUAGAUACAUGCAUCUCCCAUCCUUUCAUUUGCACAGCAAAAGACCAGUCUUGAUAUGUCAUGGUGAGAGGCAACCUACUAAUAAUUUAUGGAUACUCAUUCUUCUUCUCAUUUCUUUUUUCUUCCUAAUUUUCUUUUAGCUUUUAAGUAGAUGUACUUCGACUGAACAUAUAGAUCGAAGAAGCAACCUACUAUCUGACCUCUGUUUUACAAUAUAAGUUGGAAGACUAACUUUUGCUUUUUGGCUGGCAGAAGUACAGACUCAGCAAAAAUCUACAUGGACAAGCAAAUACCGGGGCAAACAAAAUUGGUAAGAUGCUCAAAUUUCAUCGGACAUAUAUAUAUUUCAAAUUUUUACACCAGUUAUUUUAAAGAUAACAUAACAAUGAUUUGCUAGUGUAGGAAUGGUUGCAAUGGUGGAAGACAGGAUGUCCGAGGCAAAUGGAACUCACACAAGUAAUUCAAGCAUUGAACCUCAAACAAAUAAGUAUGCGUGCCAACGCCUUUUCACUCUUUUUGUUAAUCAACACAUUAACUUAUUUUUCAAAGAUUUUGUUCUAACUACGAGAUGCUCUAUUCAGAAGUUUACAAAUAAGUGAAGCAAUACAUCUGCAGAUUGAAGUGCAAAGACAGCUACAUGAGCAGCUGGAGGUGAAAUACAUACCCCAAACAAUUAUCUCAUACGUGCAUUUCAUUUUAAACAUUAGAAUAUGUGGAUGCCUGACAUAUUUAAUCUAGCAGAACGAAUGAAGCAAAUAUAGCAAUUUAAACAAGUAAAAACAUUUAGUUUUUUUCUGAAUUGAUAGGUACAACGACAGUUGCAGCUUCGAAUAGAAGCUCAAGGGAACUACCUACAAGCAGUGCUGGAGAAAGCCCAAGAUACCCUAGGAAGGCAGAAUUUGGGAACAAUAGGAUUAGAGGCUGCUGC